UACGAAGGGGGCUAGCGUUGUUCGGAAUUACUGGGCGUAAAGCGCACGUAGGCGGAUACUUAAGUCAGGGGUGAAAUCCCGGGGCUCAACCCCGGAACUGCCUUUGAUACUGGGUAGCUAGAAUCUUGGAGAGGUCAGUGGAAUUCCGAGUGUAGAGGUGAAAUUCGUAGAUAUUCGGAAGAACACCAGUGGCGAAGGCGACUGACUGGACAAGUAUUGACGCUGAGGUACGAAAGCGUGGGGAGCAAACCGG
rnacentral:rRNA from 1 species